rnacentral:ncRNA from 1 species
ACCAAGGCUAUGACGGGUAUCCGGCCUGAGAGGGUGAACGGACACACUGGAACUGAGACACGGUCCAGACUCCUACGGGAGGCAGCAGUAGGGAAUAUUGCUCAAUGGGGGAAACCCUGAAGCAGCAACGCCGCGUGGAGGAUGAAGGUUUUCGGAUUGUAAACUCCUUUUGUUAGAGAAGAUAAUGACGGUAUCUAACGAAUAAGCACCGGCUAACUCCGUGCCAGCAGCCGCGGUAAUACGGAGGGUGCAAGCGUUACUCGGAAUCACUGGGCGUAAAGAG